GCUGGCAUGGCAUAGUGGUUUGAGCAUUGGACUACAACUCUGGAGACCAGGGUUCGAUUCCCAACUUGGCUGUG